rnacentral:rRNA from 1 species
GACGUAGGGUGCAAGCGUUGUCCGGAUUUACUGGGCGUAAAGCGCGCGUAGGCGGCUCGUUAAGUGUGGAGUGAAAUGCCGGGGCUCAACCCCGGAACUGCUUUACAUACUGGCGAGCUUGAGGGAUGCAGAGGUUUGUGGAAUUCCUGGUGUAACGGUGAAAUGCGUAGAGAUCCGGAGGAACACCAAAGGCGAAGGCAGUGUCCUGGGGAGUACCUGACGCUCAGGUGCGAAAGCCAGGGGAGCGAACGGG